rnacentral:rRNA from 1 species
GACGAACGCUGACGGCGUGCUUAAUACAUGCAAGUAGAACGCUGAAGAGAGGAGCUUGCUCUUCUUGGAUGAGUUGCGAACGGGUGAGUAACGCGUAGGUAACCUGCCUUGUAGCGGGGGAUAACUAUUGGAAACGAUAGCUAAUACCGCAUAACAAUGGAUGACAAAUGUGAUUUAUUUGAAAGGGGCAAUUGCUCCACUACAAGAUGGACCUGCGUUGUAUUAGCUAGUAGGUGAGGUAACGGCUCACCUAGGCGACGAUACAUAGCCGACCUGAGAGGGUGAUCGGCCACACUGGGACUGGGACACGGCCCAGACUCCUACGGGAGGCAGCAGUAGGGAAUCUUCGGCAAUGGGGGCGACCCUGGCCGAGCAACGCCGCGUGAGUGAAGAAGGUUUUCGGAUCGUAAAGCUCUGUUGUAAGUCAAGAACGAGUGUGAGAGUGGAAAGUUCACUCUGUGACGGUAGCGUGUCAGAAAGCGACGGCUAACUACGUG